GAACAAGUGGGGAGAAAUCUUAACAUCAUGCACAAGGGAAACGGGUCCCAGUAACAUCUUUAAUGUUAUGGGCCUUAGUCAGGGCUGCUUUGUCCCCACUCUACACAGAAGAGCCUAAAAAGGGAAGGGAGGAAGAACCAUCAUCUACCUUACCGCCUCCUCCUCCCUCAGCCCUGCCGUUACCAGGUAAAGGCCCACAGAGGAGACAAAUAUUUUCCCUGAGCCCUCUCUCCCAAUGUAUUGGAAAAAAUACAAGGGAUACACUACUGUUAUCCUGUCUUAGGCAAGUGGAAUUAGAAGGGAGCUCUUAACUUGCCCGGUGAUGCAAGAUCAACAAGGCAAUCAGUAAGAAAUGUACAAACAUUAAGAAGAGCCUAUUCAGAAAAGACAGCCUUCUAGUCAUCUUAUAAAGGCAAGAAAAACUGGUAUUUUGAAAUAAAAUAAUUUCAAAAAGUUCUGUACCCCCUGGGUAUUCUGCUGUAAUAAGGAUGAAAUCCCAUAAGUCAUUUUUUUCUCGGGAUUAUGAAGUUCACUGCACACAACCAGCCUUAUUUUAUAUCUCUUUCUUUUAUUUCAGCCAUCUGGGGACUGAGCAGAAGUCAUGGUCAGAGGGGAACAUAUGUAUUGCUUUAAUGAUGGGGGCAGAGAACAAACAGGAAGAAGUGGGAAAUGAAAAUUGCUUUAUUUCUUAGAUUCUGACUAGAAAGGCAACCUAAAUGGGAAUCAUAACA
rnacentral:antisense_RNA from 1 species